rnacentral:rRNA from 1 species
UGCAGUCGAGCGGAAGGCCCUUCGGGGUACUCGAGCGGCGAACGGGUGAGUAACACGUGAGUAACCUGCCCCAGGCUUUGGGAUAACCCCGGGAAACCGGGGCUAAUACCGGAUAUGACUGGCUGCCGCAUGGUGGUUGGUGGAAAGAUUUUUCGGCUUGGGAUGGACUCGCGGCCUAUCAGCUUGUUGGUGGGGUAAUGGCCUACCAAGGCGGCGACGGGUAGCCGGCCUGAGAGGGCGACCGGCCACACUGGGACUGAGACACGGCCCAGACUCCUACGGGAGGCAGCAGUGGGGAAUCUUGCACAAUGGGCGGAAGCCUGAUGCAGCGACGCCGCGUGAGGGAUGACGGCCUUCGGGUUGUAAACCUCUUUCAGCAGGGACGAAGCGUUUGUGACGGUACCUGCAGAAGAAGCGCCGGCCAACUACGUGCCAGCAGCCGCGGUAAGACGUAGGGCGCGAGCGUUGUCCGGAUUUAUUGGGCGUAAAGAGCUCGUAGGCGGCUUGUCGCGUCGACUGUGAAAACCCGUGGCUCAACUUCGGGCUUGCAGUCGAUACGGGCAGGCUAGAGUUCGGUAGGGGAGACUGGAAUUCCUGGUGUAGCGGUGAAAUGCGCAGAUAUCAGGAGGAACACCGGUGGCGAAGGCGGGUCUCUGGGCCGAUACUGACGCUGAGGAGCGAAAGCGUGGGGAGCGAACAGGAUUAGAUACCCUGGUAGUCCACGCUGUAAACGUUGGGCGCUAGGUGUGGGGGGCCUCUCCGGUUCUCUGUGCCGCAGCUAACGCAUUAAGCGCCCCGCCUGGGGAGUACGGCCGCAAGGCUAAAACUCAAAGGAAUUGACGGGGG